rnacentral:lncRNA from 1 species
AUACAUACAUACAGAUUCCAAAUUUGCACUUAACUGCUAUAUUAUGUAUGUACUUGUUCAUGACACCACUUGGAAUUCAGGUAGAGGUAUUUUCAAUCAGCUCCAACAUCCCUUUCCUUCCUUGGAUGUUUCCAAGACACCAUCAAGCCAGGCACAUUUAGGCAGAGAGGUUGCUGGGGAGAAUAGAACAUUGCCAAGCUCUGGCGCCAAAUACUGCACUCUGGCAACGUGUAAGUGUAAGGCAGGCAUUGUGGGUGUGUGACCUCUGCAAUCACACAGGGCCUCAUGCUCAGGAGGGCCCUGUGCUUGAUUCAAUACUCUGCUGGCCCCAUCUUGAAAUUCUUAAUGAUUUUUGAACAAGGGGCUCCACAUGUCCAUUUAUCAGUGAGCCCCUCAAAUUAUAUAGCCAGUUUUGUGUGAGGACAAAGCAAUGGACAGAUACUAUGAAGCUCCUUUCUGGGUGGCAUUUUCUCUUUCUUUUCUCCUUCCUUUCAGAGCUACCAAGUCACCCCACACUCUAGCUCAAGAGCUCUACCUGACCAAAACUCAAUGGCCUUUCCUCAGGAAAUCCAGCUAUGCUAAUGCCACCAGAACUGAGUCAGAACUCCUAACUCUACAAAUAUGGCUCCUCUGUAUUGAGUGCCUGCUAGGUGCCAGGCACAACACUCAACUGGGACCAAUAUUAUUUCUGAUCUGGGAGAUAGAUAGGUAUGAUCAGCCCCAUUUCACAGUUGAGGACAUUGAGGCUCAGAGAGAUUCAGUGACUUGUCCAAGGUCACACAGUGCAUCAAACACAAAUCUGAUGAGCCUUCUCAAAGGCUCUUGAUGCCACCUGCUUCCAGAACAUUCUGCCACUCACUCUGCCUAGGCUGCUGCCCUGCCUGACUUGAGCUCAGGCAGUUCUGCCACUUGGGUCAGAUCGGCUACAAGUCCUGGAGUAUGGGCCCUUCCUAGCCCCAUGCCUAUAGUUUCUGGCUCCUCUUACCUCUUCCAGAUUUGGAUGAAAACACUCUCCAGCAUGGGGUGGGAACUGGUCUCCUGAGAGGCUGCCAUUAGGACUGGGUGAUACAAUCCUGAAGUGCAGAAGAGUUAACCCCCACUAGGAAAACUUUGACCAGUGGAAAAUAGGAGUUGAGAGGGAGCAGGACACAUACAUUCCUUCUUCCUCUCUCCAUGGACUGCUUCAUGACAGUCUGCCUUGCCGCUCAUCCAGCUGAAUCCCACGUGUCAUGCUGAAAGGUCUUGUGCAGUGACCUUCUGGGUGUCUCCAUGGCUGUUUGUGACAUAAUAGCCAUCAAGGAAACACACCACUUAGUGUGGCUUUGCAUCCUUCUUUGCCUCGCUUCCUUGUGUCUCACCUUUGCUGCCAUGGAUUUGCAUCUUCCAAAUGAAACAUCUCACUUUCAAUUUUUGCCCCAGGCUCUAUCUUCUAGAGAAGCUAGCCUAACAUACAUAUAGGAAGGGCAGCCUUCCCACUCAGCCCAGGGUGUGGUGGAACUUCAUUUAGGCUGCAUGUGAAAAUUGGCCACCUGCUUUGCUGUAAAUGUGAUUUGUGGUUCUCUACUGUCCAACUGCUGUAGGAAUGGCCCCCACCUGAGAGAUGCAAUGGCCAUUCCAGCUUGCUGGCCAGUACAGGCCUUCCUUCUUCUCUCUCUCCCCACUCCAUCUGCAUGACCCGACCCACCCCACCUCAAGGCAUGGUUAAUUGUUCAUUAGUGACACCUGGCCCAAGUUGACCCAAUGAAUCUCUCCCUCUGUUGGGAUUUUUAAACUCAGGACUAAGUGAUUCCAUCUCCGCUUCUUUCUACAUACUCUCUCCAAAACCACAUAUGCAGUGUCUACAGCUCUAAGUAAGAAAUCCUGGGAGUGGUCAGUGGACAUCCUUUCUGUUAUGUGGGUAAUGUCAAUCUGCAGCAUGAGAGAAGAAUUCCACCAAUAUGCAGAGAGAAACAGAGGCAGGAGCUACAGAGAAUGUCCUAAUGGCAGUCUCAGACGGAAGUACAGCUAGCACAGUGUAUUCCCCCAAGGGGUGAGAGAAUGGGAAGAUGGGAAGAGGCUAAGUUUUGGACUCCAACAGGCCUGGGUUUCAGUCUCGAACUCCAUCACUUUCUAUCUGUGGACCAUGGACAAGUCAUUUAACCUCUCUGUGCCUGAGGUUCCUCAUCUGAAAAUUAGAGGAAUAACACUAUGUUUCGGCUUGGAGUCCUUGACAGAUUGGAAACUCCAGAUUUCUAUGACAGUAGGAUUGAAGCCUUGAAAGAUCUUAAUGUCACCAUCAUGAGCCUAAAAGAGAUCUUUGAAAAAGAUACUACAUGGAUCAUAUGUGUCUUUCACAGAGCAGAAAUUUUUAAUUUCCAGCCAUUAUAUUCCUUGACAUUCACCUCAAAGACUUGAAAAUUAUGUCCAUACAAAAACCUGUACAUGGAUAUUUAUUGCAGCUUUAUCCACAAUUGCCAGAACUUGUAAGCAACCAAGACAUCCUUCAGUAGGUGACUGUAUCCAUUGUGGUACGUUCAGGCUAUGGAAUAUUGUUCAGCACUAAAAGGAAAUGAGCUAUCAAGCCAUGAAAAACAUGGAGGAAACUCAACACAUAUUACUAAGUGAAGGAAGACAAUCUGAAAAAGCUACAAAUUGUAUGAUUCCAGCCACAUGACGCUCUGGAGAAGGCCAAACUAUGGAGACCGUAAAAAGAUCAGUGUUUCCUGGGAGUAGGAAGGCGGGAGAGAUGAAUAAGCAGAGCACAGAGGACUUUUAGGGCAGUGAAACUACUGUGUAUGAUACCAUAAUGGUGGAUACUUAUCAUUACACAUUUGCCCAAACCCAUACAAGGAACAACAGCAAGAGUGAACCUAAUGUAAACUAUGGACUUUGAGUGAUUAUGAUGUGCCAGUGUAGGUUAAUCAAUUAUAACAAAUGUGCUACUUUGGUGACAGAUAUCGAUAAUGGAGGAGGCUGUGUAUGUGUGGGGGGCAAGGGGUAUAUAGGAAAUCUCUGUUAACUUCUGCUCCAUUUUACUGUAAAUCCAAAAUUGCUCUAAAAAGAGGUCUAUUCAAAAAGGCAUUAUAUAACUCAAUUUAAUCAAUUUAAUCAAGACCAUGUUUACACAGUACUUUGUGUCCACACAUCAUGAUCAUAAGACCAAAAUCAUGUUGGAAACUGAAGAAAGAAAAUUACCUGACAGUCUUCCAAUCCAGAGGCGAAGUCCAGGUCCCAUCUCCUGGAAUUCUGAUAGGUUCCAUGCCUACUUCAACUAACACAAUGUGGACACUGCCAGUUUCCAGAGCCAGGACUUAUGAAGCUGGCAGUUUGUAUUCUCCGCUAUUUGAAAUACUGUCUCUGGGAGCAAUGGACUUCAAACUCUGAAGCCACCAUGCUAAUGUGGCUGCAUGUAGGUGUUCUAGCCAAUAGUUACAACUCAUAUGUAAGUUGCUUUGCUGGAGGGAUGGCUUGAAAGCCUGCCUGAAUUUCUGACCCACAAAGUUAUAUCAUAAUAAAAUGAUGUUAUCUUAA